GACUCUCAGCAACGGUUAUCUUGGCUCUCGCAUCGAUGAAGAACGUAGCAAAAUGCGAUACCUGGUGUGAAUUGCAGAAUCCCGCGAACCAUCGAGUCUUUGAACGCAAGUUGCGCCCGAGGCUACUCGGCCGAGGGCACGCCUGCCUGGGCGUCA
rnacentral:rRNA from 1 species